rnacentral:rRNA from 1 species
AUUAAACGCUGGCGGCAUGCCUUACACAUGCAAGUCGAACGGCAGCACGGGGGCAACCCUGGUGGCGAGUGGCGGACGGGUGAGUAAAGCAUCGGAACGUAUCCUGGAAGUGGGGGAUAACGUAGCGAAAGUUACGCUAAUACCGCAUAUUCUGUGAAGCAGGAAAGCAGGGGAUCGCAAGACCUUGCGCUCUGGGAGCGGCCGAUGUCGGAUUAGCUAGUUGGUGGGGUAAAGGCCUACCAAGGCGACGAUCCGUAGCGGGUCUGAGAGGAUGAUCCGCCACACUGGGACUGAGACACGGCCCAGACUCCUACGGGAGGGCAGCAGUGGGGAAUUUUGGACAAUGGGCGAAAGCCUGAUCCAGCCAUGCCGCGUGAGUGAAGAAGGCC